UACAGAGGUGGCAAGCGUUUGUUCGGAAUUACUGGGCGUAAAGGGCGCGUAGGCGGUCUUGUAAGUCUCGUGUGAAAGCCCCCGGCUCAACUGGGGAGGGUCACGCGAUACUGAUCGACUCGAAGGCAGGAGAGGGUAGUGGAAUUCCCGGUGUAGUGGUGAAAUGCGUAGAUAUCGGGAGGAACACCAGUGGCGAAGGCGAACUACCUGGCCUGUUCUUGACGCUGAGGCGCGAAAGCUAGGGGAGCAAACGGG
rnacentral:rRNA from 1 species